rnacentral:sRNA from 1 species
UCAUUGCACACACAUGAAUGUUGCAGUAAACCCCGGUUUAGGCGAACCAAAACAUUGUCCCCUCCAACUUGUCCCGGUCGGGCCUCUUCUUCUUCGGGAGCUCCUUUCCUUCCUUCGCGGGGGAGGGGGGCCGCGAACGGAGCAAGGGGUCCGCCCCCGGGAGUAACCACGUCGAUUGCGCAAUGCAUCAACACUUACUAUUGACUGAGUCCCGAAAUACUUUGUGGAGUUGGUGGUGUUCGCAUCGCCGACUCCCUAGUUGAAAUAACCAAAAACAACUCUCAGCAACGGAUAUCUUGGCUCUUGCAACGAUGAAGAACGCAGCGAAAUGCGAUACGUAGUGUGAAUUGCAGAAUUCCGCGAAUCAUCGAGUCUUUGAACGCAAGUUGCGCCCGAGGCUUGUCCGAGGGCAUUUCCGCUAGAGCGUCACCGCGCUCCCCCACCGACCCCCGCUACCAAGUGGUGAGGUCGAGUGGAAGUGGCCGUCCCGAUGGGAGGCGGCGGUGUUCUUCACCGCCGUCGAUCGGGUCGGCUGAAAUGUAUGGAAUUCGGCCGUCGUGGCGACGGAGCCCGCGAUCAGGUGAUCCGAGCGAGAGCCCGGAACUCAAAYGUGCGUGGCUGCGUCGCCCAGUUGGGUUGGGUAUGGAUAUACCACUAUGAAAGAGCUGGCGCGAGUUGGCUUCGGUAAUACGGGUACACCWUGCGAAACGAGUUCCACUUGGGAUGUGAAAGCAGGUCUGCGUGUUCGGAAGAAAUCCUUCGUAAAAAAAAGGUGAGGACACGCGCGUCACGCAUCAGA